GGGAACGCGGGGAACUGAAACAUCUCAGUACCCGUAGGAAGAGAAAAUAAAGAAUGAUUUCCUAAGUAGCGGCGAGCGAACGGGAAAGAGGCCAAACCGAAGGGCUUGCUCUUCGGGGUUGUGGAUCAGCAAAAAGGACGGAAGACCUUAGCAGAAGAGGAUUGGAAAGUCCCGCCAGAGAGGGUAAAAGCCCCUUACGCGAAAAGGUCAAACGACGAGCUGACACCAGAGUACCGCAGGACACGAGAAAUCCGGUGGGAAGCCGGGAGGACCACCUCCCAAGCCUAAAUACGAAUUGGUGACCGAUAGCGCAUAGUACCGUGAGGGAAAGGUGAAAAGAACCCCGGGAGGGGAGUGAAAAAGAACCUGAAACCCUGUGUUUACAAGCAGUGAAAGUGCGAGCAAGGCACGAUCACGUACUUUUUGUAGAACGGACCGGCGAGUUACGUUAUGCAGCAAGGUUAAGAACUGAAGGUUCGGAGCCGAAGCGAAAGCGAGUCUGAAUAGGGCGAUAGUUGCAUGACGUAGACCCGAAACCGGGUGACCUAUCCAUGAGCAGGUUGAAGUGGAGGUAAAGCUCCAUGGAGGACCGAACCAGACGUCUGUUGAAAAAGGCGGGGAUGACUUGUGGAUAGGGGAGAAAUUCCAAUCGAACCCGGAGAUAGCUGGUUCUCCUCGAAAUAGCUUUAGGGCUAGCCUCAUGGAUCAUUGGUGGGGGUAGAGCACUGAAUGUGCGCGGGGGCCACAAAGCCUACCAAACGCUAUCAAACUUCGAAUACCAUACAAUGCAGACCAUGGGAGUCAGUCCGCGAGAGAUAAGUUCCGCGGGCAAAAGGGGAACACCCCAGAUCAACCGCUAAGGUCCCCAAGUUCACGUUAAGUGGAGAAGGAUGUGGAAUUGCACAGACAACCAGGAUGUUGGCUCAGAAGCAGCCACACAUUUAAAGAGUGCGUAAUAGCUCACUGGUCGAGUGAUUGUGCGCCGAAGAUGUCCGGGGCUAAACGUGACACCGAAGCGAUGGGUGCGUCUGAAGAAGAUGCGCGGUAGAGGAGCAAUGUGCAGAGGCAGAAGCCGUAUCGAGAGGCACGGUGGACACUGCACAAGAGAGAAUGCCGGUAUGAGUAGCGAGAGGCAUGCGAGAAACAUGCCCGUCGAAAGCCCAAGGUUUCCUGGGGAAGGUUCAUCCGCCCAGGGUAAGUCGGGGCCUAAGCCGAGGACGGAAGUCGUAGGCGAUGGACAGCAGGUGUAGAUUCCUGCACUACCGAUGGAAUGAAGCAGUGACACAGAAGGAUAACUCGAGCAGGGUGAUGGUCAACCCUGUGCAAGCAUCAAGGUUGGGUUGUAGUGAAGUACGCAACCCUAUAAGCUGAGGUGUGAUGCGGACCGAAAUUUCAGUAGGGAAGCGAGUGAGUUCACGCUGGCGAGAAAAGCUGCUAGUAUAUCCAAAGGUACCCGUACCGGAAACCGACGCAGGUGGGCGAGGAGAGAAUCCUGAGACGAACGGGAGAACCCUUGUUAAGGAACUCGGCAAAAUGACCCCGUAACUUCGGGAUAAGGGGUGCCUGCGAGAGCAGGCCGCAGAGAAUAGUCACAAGCGACUGUUUAGCAAAAACACAGGUAUCUGCGAAAGCGAGAGCUGACGUAUAGGUGCUGACACCUGCCCGGUGCUGGAAGGUUAAGGGAACAUGUUAGAGCAAUCGAAGCAUCGAACCGAAGCCCCAGUAAACGGCGGCCGUAACUAUAACGGUCCUAAGGUAGCGAAAUUCCUUGUCGGGUAAGUUCCGACCCGCACGAAUGGUGUAACGACUUGUGAGCUGUCUCAACAGGGGGCCCGGUGAAAUUGAAGUAUGGGUGAAGAUGCCCAUUACCCGCGACUGGACGGAAAGACCCCGUAGAGCUUUACUGCAGCCUGAUAUUGAGUUUCGGUAACUGAUGCACAGGAUAGGUGGGAGUCUGAGAGACA
rnacentral:rRNA from 1 species